AUUGAACGCUGGCGGCAGGCCUAACACAUGCAAGUCGAGCGAGCGGCGGACGGGUGAGAAAUGUAUGGGGACUGCCCGCUAGAGGGGGAUAACUAUUGGAAACGGUAGCUAAUACAGCAUACUAUCGGAUAACCCAUAUGGGAUUAGCUCGUAGGUGAGGUAAUGGCUCACCUAGGCGACGAUCCCUAGCUGGUCUGAGAGGAUGAGCAGCCACACUGGGACUGAGACACGGCCCAGACUCCUACGGAGGCAGCAGUGGGGAAUAUUGCACAAUGGGCGCAAGCCUGAUGCAGCCAUGCCGCGUGUAUGAAGAAGGCCCUAGGGUUGUAAAGUACUUUCAGUCGGGAGGCGUUACCGACAGAAGAAGCACCGGCUAACUCCGUGCCAGCCGCCGCGGUAAUUC
rnacentral:rRNA from 1 species